rnacentral:rRNA from 1 species
GCUACGGGUGGCAGCAGUGAGGAAUAUUGGUCAAUGGACGCAAGCCUGAACCAGCCAUGCCGCGUGCAGGAAGAAGGUCCUAUGUGUUGUAAACUGCUUUUGUCCGAGGGCAAAGGCAGGUACUAGUACCCGUCUGAAAGUACCGUACGAAAAAGCAUCGGCUAACUCCGUGCCAGCAGCCGCGGUAAUACGGAGGAUUCAAGCGUUAUCCGGAUUUAUUGGGUUUAAAGGGUGCGCAGGCGGCCCGAUAAGUCAGAGGUGAAAUCCCGGGGCUCAACUUCGGCAUUGCCUUUGAUACUGGUCGGCUGGAGAGUGGGUGAGGUAGGCGGAAUGUAUGGUGUAGCGGUGAAAUGCUUAGAGAUCGUACAGAACACCGAUUGCGAAGGCAGCGUACCGGGCUACUUCUGACGUUGAGGCACGAAAGCGUGGGGAGCGAACAGGAUUAGAUACCCCGGUAGUC